rnacentral:rRNA from 1 species
AUUGAACGCUGGCGGCAUGCCUUACACAUGCAAGUCGAACGGUAACAGGUUAAGCUGACGAGUGGCGAACGGGUGAGUAAUGUAUCGGAACGUGCCCAGUCGUGGGGGAUAACUGCUCGAAAGAGCAGCUAAUACCGCAUACGACCUGAGGGUGAAAGCGGGGGCUCGCAAGACCUCGCGCGAUUUGAGCGGCCGAUAUCAGAUUAGGUAGUUGGUGAGGUAAAGGCUCACCAAGCCGACGAUCUGUAGCUGGUCUGAGAGGACGACCAGCCACACUGGGACUGAGACACGGCCCAGACUCCUACGGGAGGCAGCAGUGGGGAAUUGUGGACAAUGGGCGCAAGCCUGAUCCAGCCAUGCCGCGUGCGGGAAGAAGGCCUUCGGGUUGUAAACCGCUUUUGUCAGGGAAGAAAAGGUUCUGGCUAAUACCUGGGACUCAUGACGGUACCUGAAGAAUAAGCACCGGCUAACUACGUG